CAUCGCCGCGGUAACACGGAGGGUGCAAGCGUUAAUUGGAAUUACUGGGCGUAAAGCGCACGCAGGCGGUCUGACAAGUCAGAUGUGAAAUCCCCGGGCUUAACCUGGGAACUGCAUUUGAAACUGUCAGGCUGGAGUCUUGUAGAGGGGGGUAGAAUUCCAGGUGUAGCGGUGAAAUGCGUAGAGAUCUGGAGGAAUACCGGUGGCGAAGGCGGCCCCCUGGACAAAGACUGACGCUCAGGUGCGAAAGCGUGGGGAGCAAACAGGAUUAGAUACCCCGGUAGUCCCUGUCUCUUAUACA
rnacentral:rRNA from 1 species